CACGAACGCUGGCGGCAGGCUUAACACAUGCAAGUCGAGCGCCCCGCAAGGGGAGCGGCAGACGGGUGAGUAACGCGUGGGAAUCUACCCAUCUCUACGGAAUAACGCAUGGAAACGUGUGCUAAUACCGUAUACGUCCUUCGGGAGAAAGAUUUAUCGGAGAUGGAUGAGCCCGCGUUGGAUUAGCUAGUUGGUGGGGUAAAGGCCUACCAAGGCGACGAUCCAUAGCUGGUCUGAGGGGAUGAUCAGCCACACUGGGACUGAGACACGGCCCAGACUCCUACGGGAGGCAGCAGUGGGGAAUAUUGGACAAUGGGCGCAAGCCUGAUCCAGCCAUGCCGCGUGAGUGAUGAAGCCCCUAGGGUUGUAAAGCUCUUUCACCGGUGAAGAUAAUGACGGUAACCGGAGAAGAAGCCCCGGCUAACUUCGUGCCAGCAGCCGCCGUAACAC
rnacentral:rRNA from 1 species